GUCUUGGUAGCUCAGAUGGAAGAGCACCGGGAUAGCGACCCGGUGAUCGUGGGUUCAAAUCCCACUCAAGACG